GACUCCACGCUCAUCAGAUACCUUCGCGGUGGAUCUCCGAUCACAUCCUCUCCUUGUAAUGCUAAAAACGACGCCUUCUCCUCUCAGGAGUUCAGCUCCAGCAGAAGCAGCUUUGGAAGGUCCUUGUCGCCGCUGUCAUCGAUCGAAAAUGUGAUGUCAACGCCGGUGUAUGGGACGCCUGUCAAGGUUGUGGAUCAUGAUGUGCUGGUGAUGGAUGGAAUUUUAGUGGAGUCUGUUUCUGGAGGUAGGGUUUCUAGGUCUCUGGCGUCUGAUUCCGGUGAUUCGUCAUCCAAUUCUUCGUCUUCUUCGCCAGGAAUUAGCGUGUAUAAGACGGAGCUAUGUCGUUCUUGGGAGGAAUUUGGACAGUGCCGGUAUGGCUCCAAAUGCCAGUUUGCGCAUGGAAAAGAAGAGCUUCGACCGACUUGUUUCCCCAUGAAGAGCAAAGCUGAAACGCAUGCUUUCAAGUCGCACACCGCUGCUUCAUAUUCCUUUGGCCAGAAGUCGCGUUUCCUCAU
rnacentral:misc_RNA from 1 species